ACCAGGACUUUUACUUUGAGAAAAUUAGAGUGUUCAAAGCAGGCCUUUGCCCGAAUACAUUAGCAUGGAAUAAUAGAAUAGGACGCGCGUUCCCAUUUUGUUGGUUUCUGAGAUCGCCGUAAUGAUUAAUAGGGAUAGUUGGGGGCAUUUGUAUUCCGUCGUCAGAGGUGAAAUUCUUGGAUUGCCGGAAGACAAACUACUGCGAAAGCAUUUGCCA
rnacentral:rRNA from 1 species